AAGGCGCCAUCUUGGAGGUGGCUCCUCCAGCCCCAGUUGAGCCUUCAGAUGAUAGCAGCCCCAGCCGACAUCGUAAAUGCAACCUCACAAGAGACCCCGAGCCAGAACCACCUGGAUUAAAACGACCAUGAUGUUCCUGAAUUCCUGACUACAGAAACUGUACGUGCCAGGAUUUACUGAGCCAACAUACACAAGGCGCCAGAUGUCCACUGGACCCUCAGUCUGAUCAGCUCCUUGCCACACUGAGGUCUCAGCAGCCCCUUCCUCAUGGCGGCAAGGUUUGGACUGUGGUUAUGCCCACUCAGGGUCCGGCCCUCCAGCCAGGUUCCUGGCUGC
rnacentral:lncRNA from 1 species